rnacentral:rRNA from 1 species
UACGAAGGGUGCAAGCGUUACUCGGAAUUACUGGGCGUAAAGCGUGCGUAGGUGGUUUGUUAAGUCUGAUGUGAAAGCCCUGGGCUCAACCUGGGAACUGCAUUGGAAACUGGCUUACUAGAGUGCGGUAGAGGGGUGUGGAAUUCCCGGUGUAGCGGUGAAAUGCGUAGAUAUCGGGAGGAACAUCAGUGGCGAAGGCGGCUACCUGGCCCAAUACUGACACUCAGGUGCGACAGCGUGGGGAGCAAACAGG